UACGGGGGGGGCAAGCGUUGUCCGAAGUUACUGGGCGUAAAGCGCGCGUAGGCGGGGGAUUAAGUGAGAGGUGAAAGGCUGAGGCUCAACCUCAUGCAGUGCCUCUCAUACUGGUCUUCUUGAGGGCGGUAGGGAGAAGUGGAAUUCCUGGUGUAGCGGUGAAAUGCGCAGAUAUCAGGAAGAACACCAACGGCGAAGGCAGCUCGCUGGGACGGUACUGACGCUGAGACGCGAAAGCGUGGGGAGCGAACAGG
rnacentral:rRNA from 1 species